CACGUAGGGCGCAAGCGUUGUCCGGAAUUAUUGGGCGUAAAGAGCUCGUAGGCGGUCUGUUGCGUCCGCUGUGAAAACUCGGGGCUUAACCCCGAGCCUGCAGUGGAUACGGGCAGACUAGAGGUAGGUAGGGGAGAAUGGAAUUCCCGGUGUAGCGGUGAAAUGCGCAGAUAUCGGGAGGAACACCGGUGGCGAAGGCAGCCCCCUGGGUCAAUACUGACGCUCAUGCACGAAAGCGUGGGGAGCAAACAGG
rnacentral:rRNA from 1 species